AAUUUUAUCUACAUUUAUCCAACUUCCACAACCCCAUUUUCUUCCAAUGUUACGACCCAGAUUUGGGCCCUUUUUCUAUUUUUCUUCAUUAACCCACCCCAACUUAUACCUUUACCAGGCUCACUCCUCUUAAUUCCCAUUCCCAGUAAUUCCUCUCAUCUCAGCAACCAAACCGACUCACUUCCCUUUUAUCCCGCUCAGCGAGCAAUGCAAAAUUGCAAUGUGCGUCAGACAUGUGAACUCCGCCACUCGACCAACGCAACCUGUCGUCUUGACGCGCGCCCCACGAAAAGCUGCAGUAAGGAACGCGCAACGAUACCAACGGCAUCAUCAUCUCUUUCGCCAUUAAUUCGCGCAACAGGGGCUUCCUGAUUUCUCUAGCCUUGCAGAAUCAUUCUUGGGUGUCGGAGAUGUCGCCAUGUCUACCCAAAGGACGAUUGGAUCGAUUGAAAUUGUCCAUUUCCCAUUUCCAUUUUUGGAACGAUUUUAGAGCUUCAGAAAAAGCUUGUCUUCCCAAAGUGGUGAAAGAAAUGUUUGAAUUUCAAAUUCGGACUACUGUUCUGUCCAAGAUUCUCACCCAUUUUCCCCCUCUUUUUUGUUAGGCAAAACCAUAGCCCUUGGCUAUAUAUGAUUGCUUCGGUUCUUUUGGGGGAGGGAGAUAUUUUUUAGCUGUCGUUAGAGAGAAAAUCUACAGUAAGAAUUACUAGUUAUAUUAUUACAAAUAAACACUUGAGGAAUAGGUCUUAAAAAUCACAGAGAGUAAGAGUUCAGACUCCGGCUCGUUUCUUCACCCACGAGAGUUUAUUGGAGUCGCGACUUGGUGGUGGAGGGAUCAUCCUCAUAGCUAGCUCGUUCGUCCAUCCGAUUUGCUUCCCUCGAAAAAGGUUUUGUUUGAGAAUUUGAAGCUUUCUGUUGGCUCUUCCUCUCUUUCUCGCGGGUGCAUACGGUGUUUUUAUUCUUUGUCCUAGUUCACUGCUGGCACCAAACUAUCGCUCGAUUCAAUGGCGUAGUUGAUGUUCUCUCUCUCAUUAGUUGUUGAUGAUGAAGUUGAGUCUCAUUGUUAAUGGUUCAUUUUACUUUUAUUUUUGAGGAAGUUAGAUGAACAUUUGACUUGCUUAGCUCGAAAUACUCUGAUGGUUGGAAAAUACAAAUCUAAUAGCUUAUCUCUUUAUCAUUUAAUCUUUUAUUCGGGUUCGAUGUCAGAAUUAAAUCUUUGUGAGAGGAAGAAUGCAUUCUGUCGUCCGCUGCUCAUAGUAGUAUUUCUGUUGGUUCAUAUCUUCCUUUAAGGCGUGAUUAUUUAAGAAUGGACGAGUUGAUAGUUGCCUUCGUUUUGUCCUCUAUGCCCCGUUUAUUACCUUACUCUUUGAUGAAGUCUCAACUUUUAAAGGGGAAAUUCAAUUAUGUUUGAAAACAACCAUUAUUGUUUGUAUUUAAGCAUGCUUUAGCAUACAAUGUAUACCCCAAGUAUGAUUUAGCAUAUUUAGUUGCCUUUUGGGUGACUAGUGGAGGAUUUCUCUUACUCCGUAUAUUUUAUUCAGUUAUAUUGUUAUGUACAUCGCUGCGAAUUGUGUAAAGAUUAUUCAUGACUCACCUUUAAGUAUGGAUAUUAACCGUCAGCAUUUUUUUGUAUGGGGUUACUUGCCUUGAGUCCAUGAAACUCUUCCUUUGCAUUCCAUCGACUCCUUUCAUCGAGUCCGCCAUCAUGAUAAUCAGGAAGCAGAUUUACAGGUUGAAAAUCAGAAAAUCCGAACGAAAAAAUAAUUUUCAAGUUUUGGAAAUGUGAAAACAAGCUGAAAAUAUGGAUUGUAUACAUCCAUAUACAAUGAUAUACGCAAUGAAACAGCAAUAUACUGGUUCAAAGGGUGUGGAAACUCAAGGAAAAGUACAUGACAUGAGGGUAAACAAAAUGCAGGCUUGAAAGGUUCAAUAAUGUGUCAUAAACGUCAUGUAUACCAUCGUAUAAGUAAUCUGUAUACGAAGAUUUCUUUGAAGGAAAUUUGCCCAAAGGCCCUGAAAAUUGCAGCAGCAGAAUUUGGGCCUAGGGCCCAAAUUUGAUAUUUC